AGCCGGAGAAGGAGCCGGAGGAGAUGGGGAAACCUUCCAUCAGCCUGAGCAGCUUCCUUCCAUUCUUCCGGGAGCUGGACCUGGAGGUCUUCACCGUCCUCCACAGCGGCCUCCUCACCCGCUCCCUUCUGGACUCCGAAAUGUGUACCAAGGCGACGGAGGUGGUGCAGCUGGGGCCGGCUGAGUUGGUUUUCCUCCUGGAGGAUCUGUCCC